GAUGAACGCUGGCGGCGUGCCUAAUACAUGCAAGUCGAGCGAACGGACGAGAAGCUUGCUUCUCUGAUGUUAGCGGCGGACGGGUGAGUAACACGUGGAUAACCUACCUAUAAGACUGGGAUAACCUCGGGAAACCGGAGCUAAUACCGGAUGAUAUUUUGAACCGCAUGGUUCAAAAGUGAAAGACGGUCUUGCUGUCACUUAUAGAUGGAUCCACGCUGCAUUAGCUAGUUGGUAAGGUAACGGCUUACCAAGGCAACGAUGCAUAGCCGACCUGAGAGGGUGAUCGGCCACACUGGAACUGAGACACGGUCCAGACUCCUACGGGAGGCAGCAGUAGGGAAUCUUCCGCAAUGGGCGAAAGCCUGACGGAGCAACGCCGCGUGAGUGAUGAAGGUCUUCGGAUCGUAAAACUCUGUUAUUAGGGAAGAACAUAUGUGUAAGUAACUGUGCACAUCUUGACGGUACCUAAUCAGAAAGCCACGGCUAACUACGUG
rnacentral:rRNA from 1 species